AUUGAACGCUGGCGGCAUGCCUUACACAUGCAAGUCGAACGAGCGGCGGACGGGUGAGUAAUGUAUCGGAACCUGCCCGGUAGCGGGGGAUAACUACUGGAAACAGUGGCUAAUACCGCAUACUAUCGGAGCAGCCGAUAUCGGAUUAGCUAGUAGGUGGGGUAAAGGCUCACCAAGGCUACGAUCCCUAGCUGGUUUGAGAGGAUGACCGGCCACACUGGGACUGAGACACGGCCCAGACUCCUACGGGAGGCAGCAGUGGGGAAUUUUGGACAAUGGGGGAAACCCUGAUCCAGCCAUGCCGCGGGUAUGAGAAGGCCUUCGGGUUGUAAAGUACUUUUGUCGGGGAAGCGGUAUCUGCAGAAUAAGCACCGGCUAACUACGUGCCAGCAGCCGCGGUAAUAC
rnacentral:rRNA from 1 species